GGCACUAUGGCCGAGUGGUUAAGGCGACAGAUUCGAAUCAGGUUCUUGCAGGACUUGAACCAUCGCUAUCUGUUUCCCGUUGGGAGCGCAGGUUCAAGUCCUGCUGGUGUCG